rnacentral:rRNA from 1 species
AGAACGAACGCUGGCGGCAGGCUUAACACAUGCAAGUCGAGCGCCCCGCAAGGGGAGCGGCAGACGGGUGAGUAACGCGUGGGAACAUACCCUCCGGUUCGGAAUAGCUCAGGGAAACUUGGAUUAAUACCGGAUACGGCUUAGCGGCGAAAGAUUUAUCGCCGGAGGAUUGGCCCGCGUUCGAUUAGCUAGUUGGUGAGGUAACGGCUCACCAAGGCGACGAUCGAUAGCUGGUCUGAGAGGAUGAUCAGCCACAUUGGGACUGAGACACGGCCCAAACUCCUACGGGAGGCAGCAGUGGGGAAUAUUGGACAAUGGGCGCAAGCCUGAUCCAGCCAUGCCGCGUGAGUGAUGACGGCCUUAGGGUUGUAAAGCUCUUUCGCUAGGGACGAUAAUGACGGUACCUAGACAAGAAGCCCCGGCUAACUUCGUGCCAGCAGCCGC